GCAAGCUGCUUGACAAUGAUAGCUAAUGAUCAUAUCAAAGGCCAUUUCAUUUCGUAUCCAACUUGGGUUCAAGGAUAAGUAUGGGAAUGAAUGUCAAAUUGAGUCCAAUGAUGUGGGUCCUAUUAUUUGAUUGUCCAACUUAUAUAGUUUGGCGUACGUGUCCAUGUCGUGUUUGGUGAAGUGUCUUGAAAUCGAUCGAGGAAGAAUUGGUACGUAAGUGUGUGGGUCAACAUGACUCAAGGCAGAGAUGCAUGCCUUCGGCUGGGAUUCCUGGCUUGCACGCCACGGGAGCUCUUGCUGUCUGUCGUGGUUUACAAUUUGGCAACGAAGUUUUGAGCUGCUUACUUCUGAUUUGCAUUACAUAUUUUGAAAGCAAAUUCAAACUUUUGGAAAUUUUAAGGGUUCGAGGAAGAUUUUUUUGCCAAUGUCAGGAAACUUGCACCUGGUCAUGAUCAUGUGUCGAGAACAGGUUCUUGCACGCCGUUUGGAUUUGGAAACUAAUCCUUUUGGACAUGGGAUCUUAAAGGUGUGGAUGACCCAACAAUUCCGACUUCAAUAUUUCAAAUGUCAUUCCACUUGUUUCAGCAUUUAGCAUUUGCUGUUGCUUUAUUUUGGAGCUUUGUAGGGGCACGUGUCGAUCAAAUAUCUGUCCUCUAAUCAUAGGG